UUCUGCAGGGCUCACGCUACCAGGCGACUUGGGCGAAGAAGUCGCCUUCCCGAUCGUCACUUCGCUUUCCCCGACCCCCAAAAGCGAAAACAAGUCGCCCUGUUCUUGACGAUACUCGCUUUCAGUCGCUUCCGUCAUCGGACAUUUUCAAUUUUUACCAAUUUGAUGAAACAUCAAUUUUUUAUUGAUAAUUAAAGAAAUUCAGACAUAAACGAUUCAUUGUCUUUAGAAAAGAGGUUGAAGCAUUGUCUUCGCAAUGUGAAGCAACUUUUUAUCACCGUGCAUUUCCGCAAGUUCUUAAAUACUCGAAAACGUACAUCAACCUAAAUUUCGGCGGCAAAAUAAGUUUGUUACUUCAUUUAAACGUGAUAAAAGUUGCCUCCAGUAAAUGUUUAAUCCAUUUAUUGCAUUAAAAACGUUAUGUUCCUUUCCAAAUAACUUGUCAAACAUCGUUUAUUUUUGUAAAUUUUCUUGCAUUCGUCCGCCAUUGACCGAUUUCUAAACUACGGAUCUGAACCGGACCAGCUAUGACCGAAAUCCGUACUUUUACAAUAAUUACUACGGACGCACGGAUGGAACAGCUGACAGAAGAAUAUUGAUCCCAAAGGGGAAAAUUACGCAUUCCACACGCAUUAAGAGACUUUUGGUUACAUCUAAUUGAUUGGUGUAUUUAAUUCCCUAUAUUUUUUAUGGAUUGUUUCAAACUAUUGAUUAAAAUUGCUUAACUCUGAGACUAUUUUAU
rnacentral:lncRNA from 1 species